rnacentral:rRNA from 1 species
UACGGAGGAUGCAAGCGUUAUCCGGAUUUAUUGGGUUUAAAGGGUGCGCAGGUUGUUUGAUAAGUCAGUGGUGAAAGUCUGUCGCUUAACGGUAGGAUUGCCAUUGGUACUGUUGGACUUGAAUAUGGAUGAGGUAGGCGGAAUGUGUAGUGUAGCGGUGAAAUGCAUAGAUAUUACACAGAACACCGAUUGCGAAGGCAGCUUACUAAUCCAUCAUUGACGCUGAGGCACGAAAGCGUGGGGAGUCAAACAGGA